rnacentral:rRNA from 1 species
UGCCAGCCGCCGCGGUAAUACGGAGGGUACAAACGCUGUUCGGAAUCACUGGGCAUAAAGAGCACGUAGGCGGCCUGUUUAGUCGGGUGUGAAAGCCCUCGGCUUAACCGAGGAACUGCACUCGAAACUGACAGGCUUGAGGAUGGCAGGGGUAAGUGGAACUCCAGGUGGAACGGUGAAAUGUGUAGAUAUCUGGAGGAACACCGGUGGCGAAAGCGGCUUACUGGGCCAUAUCUGACGCUGAGGUGCGAAAGCUAGGGUAGCGAACGGGAUUAGAUA